rnacentral:sRNA from 1 species
UCGAUCUGUUGCGGACAAAUGAAAUGAAUGUGUGAGUCGAUCCCACCGGCGGUUAAUAGCUUCCCUUCGCCGGCAAUGACUUCAGUUCCAGGACCAAUAAUCACGGUCACCUGCGGCUGAAUAUCCGGGUUUCCUGCUUUUCCAAUCGCUGCUAUCCGUCCGUUUUUAACGCCAACAUCGGCUUUCACGAUGCCCCAAUAAUCCACAAUGAGCGCAUUGGUGAUGACAAGGUCCAUGCACUCAUGGCUCGGCCGUUGCGAUUGCCCCAUGCCAUCUCG